rnacentral:lncRNA from 1 species
AUUUUCAUGUCUCUCUCUAUAUAUAACUUCCACUGAAAUACACAUGUAACUUAUAAGGCCAAAGAAACGAGAGAUGGGGAAGAAGUGGAUUCUGAUGAUGAUAUUUUUGGUGGUGAUGGUUGUAGCCAGGGAAGGAGAAGCAGAAGGAUCGCCAUGUGAAUCACACUGUGUGAUCCACUGCGGAGGCCAUGCAUGGCCCUUCAGCAAGUUUUGCCAAAAUCUAUGUCUGGUUAAGCAAUGCAACUAUCCACCUGUAACCAGCAAAGUGAAGUUAUCUCUCUAUGUGCUCGCACACAUACUCUUGAUUGUGUCUUUGUGUUUAUCCAGGUAUAUAUCUUUGUGCAUAGCGGAAUUGACAAGGUUUUUAAUCUUUAAAUACAAGUUGUUUGGGGACUUAGAAGGAUGAAGGCAAAAUGUUUAAAGGCUUGUCAUGAUGUAAACUCCUUUCUAUAAAAUUCCAAUAAGAUCUAUCAAAGGGGUAUAACCAAAUGGUUUUACAAAUUUAGGCAAAUAGAUGAGAUGAACAAGCAGUACAUAUGAACUAUAUCAUACUCUUUUUGCUCCUUUUUAUAGUUUUUACUUAGAGUAAAAGCGCGGGAAUUUUAAAACAGUAAAACUAUAGAUAUUGGUCAGAAUUAACGCGGGAAUUUUGAAAUAGAAAAUUAUAGAUAUUGGUUAAACUCGCGAGAAUUUUAAACCUAUAAAGUUAUAGAUAUAGUUCUAUAUGAAAAGACUAUUAUCACUAAGCAUCGGAAAACAAUUCCGAUUUGAGGUGCUAAAAAGACAUCUCGAAAAAUCGCAAUAAUCGGUUCAUUAUAUUCGAUUAUCCGGGUAAAAAUAUCAUAAGAUCAAUUAAGUGAAUUUUGCACAGUUAUCUUACAAAAUAAAAUGUACCAAAUAAAAACUUCUUAAGCAUCUUAUAGUAACGGAAAAAGCAUCAACAAUGUAUUUUAAUGAACAUAUAUGCCUUUAUUGAUCUGCAAAACAAGUGUUAUGUUGUAACAACUAUGCUGAAUGGAUUAUUUGUUUGUGUUUGAGUGGGUUUGCAUGCGUACUUGUAUUUCAAGUGAUUCAUCUCAAGAAAAAAGGAAAAAACAAUUUGUUACUUUGCUGGUUUUAAGGUGCAAAUGUCAUUAAAAGAAUCCUCAUGAAAACGUAACGUAGACGCAGAAAUUACGUUUGGAAUCAGCAGAAAAUGUGGAUCCUCCUCAUGGCAAAUAACUGCAUGAAAUCAACAUAAGCAAAG